UUCCCCCAGUAACUGCGAGUGAAGAGGGAAGAGCUCAUCAUUGGAAUCUGGCAGCGUUGCGCUGUCCGAGUUGUAGAUGAGAAGAGUAGGACAUCUGGACUGCAUGGUGUCCAAGUACAAUAGGCCGUCAGUGGGACAUCAUAGAGGGUGACAAUCCCGUCCUUGACACCAAUGUACGAGUCCUUUACGAUGCCUAUCUCGGAGAGUCGAGCAGUUUGGGAUUUGCUGCUUAAACACGGGAGGUAGAUUCCUUCCAAAGCUAAAUACAGGCAAGAGACCGAUAGUGAACAAGUACCGCAAGGGAAAGAUGAAAUAGAACUCUGUGAAGGGAGUCAAAAAGACGUGAAAUUGUUGCGAGAGAAGCGAUUCAAGUCAGCGUAGCUGGGCCCAUCAAGCCUCGCGCUUUGGACCAGCUUUGCCAGCGGUCUUGUCCCCAGAGACUUGACUAAGGUGCCCUGCCCGGUCUAACGGACAGACCUCCCCGCUGGGGAGGCCAGUGGCAUGGCUGGUGGAAUGGCUUGCAAUCGACCCGUCUUGAAACCCGGACCAAGGAGUCUAACAUGUACGCGAGUAUAAGGGUGGCAAACCCGUAUGCGCAAAGAAAGUGAUAGCCUAUGGCUGAGAAUGACCUGACGACCNNNNNNNNNNNNNAUGUCCCUCGUACGGUCAUUGCCCAAGUCCCAUGGUCAGAUCCCAUGGACAUGGAGUUGGAGCGUGCAUGCUAGGACCCGAAAGAUGGUGAACUAUGCCUGGACAAAGCGAAGCCAAAGGAAACUCUGGUGGAGGCUUGUAGCGAUUCUGACGUGCAAAUCGAUCGUCUGAUCUGGGUAUAGGGGCGAAAGACUAAUCGAACCAU
rnacentral:rRNA from 1 species